rnacentral:rRNA from 1 species
AACGAACGCUGGCGGCAGGCCUAACACAUGCAAGUCGAACGGUAACAGGUCUUCGGAUGCUGACGAGUGGCGAACGGGUGAGUAAUACAUCGGAACGUGCCCGAUCGUGGGGGAUAACGAAGCGAAAGCUUUGCUAAUACCGCAUACGAUCUACGGAUGAAAGCAGGGGACCGCAAGGCCUUGCGCGAACGGAGCGGCCGAUGGCAGAUUAGGUAGUUGGUGGGAUAAAAACUUACCAAGCCGACGAUCUGUAGCUGGUCUGAGAGGACGACCAGCCACACUGGGACUGAGACACGGCCCAGACUCCUACGGGAGGCAGCAGUGGGGAAUUUUGGACAAUGGGCGAAAGCCUGAUCCAGCCAUGCCGCGUGCAGGAUGAAGGCCUUCGGGUUGUAAACUGCUUUUGUACGGAACGAAAAGACUCUGGUUAAUACCUGGGGUCCAUGACGGUACCGUAAGAAUAAGCACCGGCUAACUACGUGCCAGCCGCCGCGGUAAGAC